UUCGAUUCUGGCUCAGAACGAACGCUGGCGGCAGGCCUAACACAUGCAAGUCGAGCGAUCGCAGCAAUGCGGGAGCGGCAGACGGGUGAGGAACACGUGGGAACAUACCCUUUGGUUCGGAAUAACUCAGGGAAACUUGAGCUAAUACCGGAUAAGUCGGCAACGAGAAAGAUUCAUCGCCGAAGGAUUGGCCCGCGUCCGAUUAGCUAGUUGGUGAGGUAAUGGCUCACCAAGGCGACGAUCGGUAGCUGGUCUGAGAGGAUGAUCAGCCACAUUGGGACUGAGACACGGCCCAAACUCCUACGGGAGGCAGCAGUGGGGAAUAUUGGACAAUGGGCGCAAGCCUGAUCCAGCCAUGCCGCGUGAGUGAUGACGGCCCUAGGGUUGUAAAGCUCUUUCACCCACGACGAUAAUGACGGUAGUGGGGGAAGAAGCCCCGGCUAACUUCGUGCCAGCCGCCGC
rnacentral:rRNA from 1 species